GGCAGAAAAACUUCUGCUCUGGUGAGUAAAAAUGAUAAACUGUGCUUGAGGGCUUUGUGAAGCUGGUCUUAUGACCUUCCAAUCUUAAUGGUGUGUACUGAGAGUUGUCUGUUUUUAGAUUACUUGCAGAAAUGCACUGGGGUUAUGGUCUAUAAAAAGCCAAAUAUCAUGAGAAUCACAGUUCAGUGUUUACCACUCUACAGCAGUUGAAAGUCUGUGCCUCAGAUUUGAAAGUUAUUGGAUACUGGCAGCAAUUUUAGAGGCAUCAUCUUUCUGUCUGAUGUUCACUGAGGUUGCUGGCAGUUGUGUCAUUCAGUGUGCCAGUUUUGAGCUAGUGCAGGUCUUGCUGUGUAGGUUUCUAACGCCUGACAUGAGUAAGCAUCACAGUGAGCCGACUCAGAGGGAGCAGGAGUUGCUGAAAGUUCGCAGAGACAGCGACACUAAGGCUGCCGAACUAGUCAAGAUGGAGAGGAUGCUUCAGCACACCAAGAACCUGUUGGACAAAAAGACAGAGACAGGUUCAGAGACAAUGGACUACCAAGAGAACAUGGUGGAGGACCUGGAGGAAAAGGUGCGCUCCAGUAGACGGUACAGGAGAAACUCCCUCCACCACACCCAGAUGCUGGAGAGUCAGAUGAAAACAGUGAAGGGUGAGCUCGUGGGCACCCUGGACCACCUUCAGGAGCUCAGGAACAUCUUGCGUCGUUCUCAGCAGAAAGCCGAAGAGCGCAAAGCAGUGAUGGAGAAGUUGGCAGCAGGGCUCAGGUGAACUACUUCAAAACUUGUCUGACCUGAAGUAUUGCAUCCUGCUUGAGCCUGUUCAGAGAUUGCCUGUAAGAAUGAUUAAAUAAUGGAAGAAAUAGAAGAUAGAGAUAAAACAGAAAGAAGAAAUAGACAUGAGUUGCCAUGUUUUGCCGUCACCCUGUUCUCCUUCAUCUCUUUUGUCAUGUUGUUGUAGUUAUUUUGCUUUUCAUUUUAGACACUCUGAUUCUGUAAAUACUGUAUACCCAGGCCAUCUUUCAUAAAUGUUUCUUCAGGGCUAUAAGUAUAUUUGUUCAUGAAAAGAAAAUAUCUCUGUGAUAUCAGUUUUACUUAGAUAUAUUCAAUUUGCAGCCACAGUGUUGCUGUUUCAUAAACCUCAUUUAAAUUAAUUUUAUCCUGCCAAUAAAAACACCUAAAUUGUCUUGAUGAACAACACAGACAUCAUUUUGUCUUAAUAUCUGGGAUUAGCACACAAGGAAAAAAAUCUGUUGCACCAGUUUGCUUUUUGAUUUAUAUUUGUCAGAAAGGCCUGAAUAGAUUAUCCUGGUAUGUGAACAUUAAAUGCUAUAUUACAGUCUGAUCUGAAGAGUUUUAUGCUGACAGAGACUUGGUUCUUUCUUUAAUAAUAUAAUUUUCCCAGAUGACAGAAAAUUGUGUUCAGUGCUGUGCAGAAUUGUUUAGUGUUUCAGCUACCUCUGCCAUCAACAGUCCAUUGUUCUGUUUCCUGUGGUGAGUCAUCUGAAAGCUGUGUUUGUGCCUUCCCUAUGGCUGAGAUGUGAUCACACCUAAUUUAACACAGCUUGUUUCACAGUGUCACAUGCUGCGAGGCUGUGGGGGAUUUCAAUAGCUGACCCUGACCUAGACAUUUAACUGUAAUUAUAAUUAUUCAUCAGGCAAAGCUGCAUUGUAUCUUAUGGUUCCUGUCUCUGAUAUUGCUCACAUGUAAGUAAUGGUUAUAUGUAUAAUGACUAUCACUUUAGCUAUUGUUAAUAUUAACAUAUGUGACAAAGGACAGGUAAGGUAUGAAUGAGGAACCACGUUGCAUACACAGAUAUUCUUCCUCACACUCAACAGCUAUGAUGGUGUCCCUGUUGUUUGUUUCAUCUUAAGAAUGAAUUGAAUUUUGUCUGGUUUGUGUAGAGGUGGUUUUUGAGAUCAAUAUAGAAGAUUACCACAAAUAACCCUGCAGGGGGCACUGAAGACUUCCCAGUGCGCAGUCUGAAACAGAAAACAGCAUGUUGCCUUUCAGAAGACCUACAUACUGGGAAUUAAAGAGCUUUAAAAGGUACUAGGCAGGUGACCUCUAAAGCAAAAAUUCCCAUCUAUUUGUUGUGACCUUUUAAAACAAAAACAAAAAAAAAAGUCUUCUGACAACUGGUCUCACAGGUUUUCAGUUCAACCAGCAUUGCCUUUUCCUUAU
ensembl:lncRNA